GACGAACGCUGGCGGCGUGCCUAAUACAUGCAAGUUGAGCGAUGAAGAUUGGUGCUUGCACCAAUUUGAAGAGCAGCGAACGGGUGAGUAACGCGUGGGGAAUCUACCUUUGAGCGGGGGACAACAUUUGGAAACGAAUGCUAAUACCGCAUAACAACUUUAAACAUAAGUUUUAAGUUUGAAAGAUGCAAUUGCAUCACUCAAAGAUGAUCCCGCGUUGUAUUAGCUAGUUGGUGAGGUAAAGGCUCACCAAGGCGAUGAUACAUAGCCGACCUGAGAGGGUGAUCGGCCACAUUGGGACUGAGACACGGCCCAAACUCCUACGGGAGGCAGCAGUAGGGAAUCUUCGGCAAUGGACGAAAGUCUGACCGAGCAACGCCGCGUGAGUGAAGAAGGUUUUCGGAUCGUAAAACUCUGUUGGUAGAGAAGAACGUUGGUGAGAGUGGAAAGCUCAUCAAGUGACGGUAACUACCCAGAAAGGGACGGCUAACUACGUG
rnacentral:rRNA from 1 species